CUGUUGCGUUAAGGAUUGAAAUGACAUCCUUUUUUCUUUUCUGAAAAAAGAUAUAAUGGAAAGCCUGACCCUGA
rnacentral:sRNA from 1 species